rnacentral:rRNA from 1 species
CAGAGGGUGCAAGCGUUAAUCGGAAUUACUGGGCGUAAAGCGAGCGUAGUCGGUUAUUUAAGUCGGAUGUGAAAUCCCCGGGCUCAACCUGGGAAUUGCAUUCGAUACUGGAUAGCUAGAGUUCGGCAGAGGGAAGCGGAAUUUCUGGUGUAGCGGUGAAAUGCGUAGAUAUCAGAAGGAACAUCAGUGGCGAAAGCGGCUCCCUGGACCAGAACUGACGAUCAGGCUCGAAAGCGUGGGGAGCAAACAGGAUUAGAUACCCUGGUAGUCCACGCCAUAAACGAUGACAACUAGACGUUGGGGACAUAUGGUCCACAGUGUCGCAGCUAACGCGUUAAGUUGUCCGCCUGGGGAGUACGGCCGCAAGGUUG